CCUUAGCCUAGAUAGAACUCACAGAGAUCC
rnacentral:piRNA from 1 species